AGACGUCUACAUUAGAUACCCGCGUAGUCCCAGCCGUAAACUAUGCUCGCUAGGUGUCAGGCAUGGCGCGACCGUGUCUGGUGCCGCAGGGAAGCCGUGAAGCGAGCCACCUGGGAAGUACGGCCGCAAGGCUGAAACUUAAGGAAUUGGCGGGGAGCACAACAACGGGUGGAGCCUGCGGUUUAAUUGGACUCAACGCCGGACAACUCACCGGGAACGACAGCAAUAUGUAGGCCAGGCUGAAGACUCUACUUGAUGAUCUG
rnacentral:rRNA from 1 species